rnacentral:ncRNA from 2 species
UAAUAGACACAGGGGAGCGAUAAGCUGAGAAAGGUUAAGACCUGACCCUCAUAACCUGAUCUGGGUAAUGCCAGCGAAGGGAGUGAUUAGACGGCUAAU